rnacentral:rRNA from 1 species
AUUGAACGCUGGCGGCAGGCUUAACACAUGCAAGUCGAGCGGAGAUGAGGUGCUUGCACCUUAUCUUAGCGGCGGACGGGUGAGUAAUGCUUAGGAAUCUGCCUAUUAGUGGGGGACAACAUUCCGAAAGGAAUGCUAAUACCGCAUACGUCCUACGGGAGAAAGCAGGGGAUCUUCGGACCUUGCGCUAAUAGAUGAGCCUAAGUCGGAUUAGCUAGUUGGUGGGGUAAAGGCCUACCAAGGCGACGAUCUGUAGCGGGUCUGAGAGGGUGAGCCGCCACACUGGGACCGAGACAAUGCCCAGACUCCUACGGGAGGCAGCAGUGGGGAAUAUUGGACAAUGGGGGGAACCCUGAUCCAGCCAUGCCGCGUGUGUGAAGAAGGCCUUAUGGUUGUAAAGCACUUUAAGCGAGGAGGAGGCUACUGAGACUAAUACUCUUGGAUAGUGGACGUUACUCGCAGAAUAAGCACCGGCUAACUCUGUGCCAGCAGCCGCCGUAAUAC